rnacentral:rRNA from 1 species
CCUACGGGGUGCAGCAGUGGGGAAUAUUGCACAAUGGGGGAAACCCUGAUGCAGCGAAGCCGCGUGAGUGAAGAAGUAUUUCGGUACGUAAAGCUCUAUCAGCAGGGAAGAAGAAAGACGGUACCUGACUAAGCAGCCCCGGCUAACGACGUGCCAGCAGCCGCGGUAAUACGUAGGGGGCAAGCGUUAUCCGGAUUUACUGGGUGUAAAGGGAGCGUAGACGGCUGUGCAAGUCUGAAGUGAAAGCCCAGGGCUCAACCCUGGGCCUGCUUUGGAAACUGUGGAGCUAGAGUGCUGGAGAGGUAAGUGGAAUUCCUAGUGUAGCGGUGAAAUGCGUAGAUAUUAGGAGGAACACCAGUGGCGAAGGCGGCUUACUGGACAGUAACUGACGUUGAGGCUCGAAAGCGUGGGGAGCAAACAGGAUUAGAUACCCGUGUAGUC